rnacentral:rRNA from 1 species
ACGUACGCUGGCGGCACGCCUAACACAUGCAAGUCGAACGAAGUAGCAAUACUUAGUGGCAGACGGGUGAGUAACAUGUAGGUAUCUACCCUUUGGCCUGGAAUAACACGAGGAAACUUGUGCUAAUACCGGAUAAGUCUUUACGGAGAAAGCUUUAUGCACCAUUGGAUGAGCCUGCACUUGAUUAGUUUGUUGGUGGGGUAAUGGCCUACCAAGACUGUGAUCAAUAGCUGAUUUGAGAGGAUGAUCAGCCACAUUGGGACUGAGACACGGCCCAAACUCCUACGGGAGGCAGCAGUGGGGAAUCUUGCACAAUGGAGGAAACUCUGAUGCAGCGAUGCCGCGUGAGUGAAGAAGGCCUUUGGGUUGUAAAGCUCUUUCGUCGGGGAAGAAAAUGACUGUACCCGAAUAAGAAGGUCCGGCUAACUUCGUGCCAGCAGCCGCGGUAAUACGAAGGGACCUAGCGUAGUUCGGAAUUACUGGGCUUAAAGAGUUCGUAGGUGGUUGAAAAAGUUAGUGGUGAAAUCCCAGAGCUUAACUCUGGAACUGCCAUUAAAACUUUUCAGCUAGAGUAUGAUAGAGGAAAGCAGAAUUUCUAGUGUAGAGGUGAAAUUCGUAGAUAUUAGAAAGAAUACCAAUUGCGAAGGCAGCUUUCUGGAUCAUUACUGACACUGAGGAACGAAAGCAUGGGUAGCGAAGAGGAUUAGAUACCCUCGUAGUCCAUGCCGUAAACGAUGUGUGUUAGACGUUGGAAAUUUAUUUUCAGUGUCGCAGCGAAAGCGAUAAACACACCGCCUGGGGAGUACGACCGCAAGGUUAAAACUCAAAUGAAUUGACGGGGACCCGCACAAGUAGUGGAGCAUGUGGUUUAAUUCGAAGAUACGCGCAGAACCUUACCAACACUUGACAUGUUCGUCGCGACUCUAAGAGAUUAGAGUUUUCGGUUCGGCCGGACGAAACACAGGUGCUGCAUGGCUGUCGUCAGCUCGUGUCGUGAGAUGUUGGGUUAAGUCCCGCAACGAGCGCAACCCUCACUUUUAGUUGCCAUCAUUUAGUUGGGCACUCUGAAAGAACUGCCAGUGAUAAGCUGGAGGAAGGUGGGGAUGACGUCAAGUCCUCAUGGCCCUUACGUGUUGGGCUACACACGUGCUACAAUGGUACCUACAACAGGAAGCAAGACUGCGAGGUCAAGCAAAUCCUUAAAAGAUACCUCAGUUCGGAUUGCACUCUGCAACUCGAGUGCAUGAAGCUGGAAUUACUAGUAAUCGUGGAUCAGCGUGCCACGGUGAAUGCGUUCCCGGGUCUUGUACACACCGCCCGUCACACCAUGGGAGUUGGUUCUACCUUAAGGCAAGGUUUAAAACCCUUGACCACGGUAUAGUCAGCGACUGGGGUGA